rnacentral:misc_RNA from 1 species
AAAAAUGUUUGGUCUCGUGCCAAAUCCACACCUGUGUGCACUAUUGUCUGUAUUUGGUAGUCUAGGAGGGGCGACCCGCAAGGGCCUGCCCAUAUACUCCGUGACCCAGUCAACUUUUAGUUGGCUGGUGUCGGGCUACCGCCAUUUUGAAAAAACCUUUUGUUUGUUUUGUUUUUGUCUGAACGAAGAGUUAAUCUUCAUUGAUUAAUGAUUUGAAUA